rnacentral:rRNA from 1 species
AGUGAACGCUGGCGGCAGGCCUAACACAUGCAAGUCGAGCGAGCGGCGGACGGGUGAGUAAUGUAUGGGAAACCGCCUGAUGGAGGGGGAUAACUACUGGAAAAGGUAGCCAAUACCGCAUACCAACGGAUGUGCCCAGAUGGGAUUAGCUAGUCGGUGGGGUAAUGGCUCACCUAGGCGACGAAGCCUAGCUGGUCUGAGAGGAUGACCAGCCACACUGGAGCUGAGACAAGCUCCAGACUCCUACGGGAGGCAGCAUUGGGGCAUCUUCGACAAGGGGCGCUAGCCUGAUGCAGCCAUGCCGCGUGUAUGAAGAAGGCCUUCGGGUUGUAAAGUACUUUCAGCGAGGAGGCGUUACUCGACGAAUAAGCACCGGCUAACUCCGUGCCAGCAGCCGCGGUAAUUC